rnacentral:misc_RNA from 1 species
AGGAUGAUUGAGACUGGUAUGAAGCAACACUAAAGCUCGAAACAUUCGAUAGUUCUUGAAAGCGAGCAAAGAAGUCAGGCUAAGUGGGAAGUGAGAGAUUCGCUUGAAGAAAAGCCCUAAAGUAGGAAAGGAUUUGAUGCAACAUCAUGCCAAAUUUGGGAGAAAUCAGAGUUAAACGCAAUAGAGUUUCAAGUUCUAGUGCAACCAAGAGCAUUGAAAGUAACUGAAAGGACUCCAAAAGAG